rfam:Lachnobacterium bovis strain S1b genome assembly, contig: IE07DRAFT_scaffold00006.6
GGGAUCUUAGCUCAGCUGGGAGAGCAUCUGCCUUACAAGCAGGGGGUCACAGGUUCGAGCCCUGUAGGUCCCA